rnacentral:rRNA from 1 species
AAACGACUCUCGGCAACGGAUAUCCCGGCUCUCGCAUCGAUGAAGAACGUAGCGAAAUGCGAUACUUGGUGUGAAUUGCAGAAUCCCGUGAACCAUCGAGUCUUUGAACGCAAGUUGCGCCCGAAGCCAUUAGGYYGAGGGCACGUCUGCCUGGGUGUCACGC